rnacentral:rRNA from 1 species
UACGUAGGGUGCAAGCGUUAAUCGGAAUUACUGGGCGUAAAGCGUGCGUAGGCGGUUUUGGAAGUUUGUCGUGAAAUCCCCGGGCUCAACCUGGGAAUGGCAUUUGGGACUGCAAGGCUGGAGUGCGGCAGAGGAGACUGGAAUUCCUGGUGUAGCAGUGAAAUGCGUAGAUAUCAGGAAGAAUACCGAUGGCGAAGGCAGGUCUCUGGGCUGACACUGACGCUCAUGCACGAAAGCGUGGGGAGCAAACAGG